rnacentral:misc_RNA from 1 species
AAGUCGUAACAAGGUUUCCGUAGGUGAACCUGCGGAAGGAUCAUUACAGUAUCUUUUUACCAGCGCUUAAUUGCGCGGUGAAAAACCUUACACACUGUGUUUUUUGUUAUUAAAACAUUUCUUUGGUCUGGACAUCUGUUCGGGCCAGAGGCUACAACACGAAACUUCAAUUUUAUUGAACUUUUAUUUAAUUAUUUGUCAAUUUGUUGAUUAAUUUCAAAAAAUCUUCAAAACUUUCAACAACGGAUCUCUUGGUUCUC